rnacentral:rRNA from 1 species
UACGUAGGUGGCAAGCGUUGUCCGGAUUUACUGGGCGUAAAGAGCGCGCAGGCGGUCGUGCAAGUCGCGUGUGAAAGCCCCCGGCUCAACUGGGGAGGGUCACGCGAUACUGCUCGACUUGAAGGCAGGAGAGGGAAGUGGAAUUCCCGGUGUAGUGGUGAAAUGCGCAGAUAUCAGGAAGAACACCCGUGGCUAAGGCGGCUCUCUAGUACGGUACUGACGCUGAGACGCGAAAGCGUGGGGAGCAAACAGG